GACGAACGCUGGCGGCGUGCUUAACACAUGCAAGUCGAACGGAAAGGCCCUGCUUUUGUGUUGUGCUCGAGUGGCGAACGGGUGAGUAACACGUGAGUAACCUGCCCUUGACUUUGGGAUAACUUCAGGAAACUGGGGCUAAUACCGGAUAGGAGCUCCUGCUGCAUGGUGGGGGUUGGAAAGUUUCGGCGGUUGGGGAUGGACUCGCGGCUUAUCAGCUUGUUGGUGGGGUAGUGGCUUACCAAGGCUUUGACGGGUAGCCGGCCUGAGAGGGUGACCGGCCACAUUGGGACUGAGAUACGGCCCAGACUCCUACGGGAGGCAGCAGUGGGGAAUAUUGCACAAUGGGCGGAAGCCUGAUGCAGCAACGCCGCGUGCGGGAUGACGGCCUUCGGGUUGUAAACCGCUUUCGCCUGUGACGAAGCGUGAGUGACGGUAAUGGGUAAAGAAGCACCGGCUAACUACGUG
rnacentral:rRNA from 1 species